rnacentral:rRNA from 1 species
AGAGCGAACGCUGGCGGCAGGCCUAACACAUGCAAGUCGAGCGCCCGUAGCAAUACGGGAGCGGCAGACGGGAUAGUAACACGUGGGAACGCGCCCUUCGGUUCGGAAUAACUCAGGGAAACUUGAGCUAAUACCGGAUACGCCCUUACGGGGAAAGAUUUAUUGCCGAAGGAACGGCCCGCGUCCGAUUAGCUAGUUGGUGAGGUAAUGGCUCACCAAGGCGACGAUCGGUAGCUGGUCUGAGAGGAUGACCAGCAUCACUGGGACUGAGACACGGCCCAGACUCCUACGGGAGGCAGCAGUGGGGAAUAUUGGACAAUGGGCGCAAGCCUGAUCCAGCCAUGCCGCGUGGAUGAUGAAGGCCUUAGGGUUGUAAAGUCCUUUUAACGGGGAGAUAAUGACGGUACCGUAGAAUAAGCCCGGCUAACUUCGCGCCAGCAGCCGC